CCUACGUGAGGCAGCAGUGAGGAAUAUUGGUCAAUGGGCUUACGCCUGAACCAGCCAAGUCGCGUGAGGGAAGACUGCCCUAUGGGUUGUAAACUUCUUUUGUCAGGGAGUAAUUGGCGCUACGUGUAGCGUUAUCGAGAGUACCUGAAGAAAAAGCAUCGGCUACUGCCGUGCCAGCAGCCGCGGUAAUACGGAGGAUGCGAGCGUUAUCCGGAUUAAUUGGGUUUAAAGGGUGCGUAGGCGGACUGCCAAGUCAGCGGUAAAAUCGCGGGGUUCAACCUCGCUCCGCCGUUGAAACUGGCGUUCUUGAGGGGGCGAGAAGUAUGCGGAAUGCGUGGUGUAGCGGUGAAAUGCAUAGAUAUCACGCAGAACUCCGAUUGCGAAGGCAGCAUACCGGCGCCCAACUGACGCUGAAGCACGAAAGCGUGGGUAUCGAACAGGAUUAGAUACCCCGGUAGUC
rnacentral:rRNA from 1 species